rnacentral:rRNA from 1 species
CCUACGGGAGGCAGCAGUGAGGAAUAUUGGUCAAUGGGCGCGAGCCUGAACCAGCCAAGUCGCGUGAGGGAAGACGGUCCUAUGGAUUGUAAACCUCUUUUGUCGGGAAGCAAAAGACGCCACGCGUGGCGUUCCGAGAGUACCCGAAGAAAAAGCAUCGGCUAACUCCGUGCCAGCAGCCGCGGUAAUACGGAGGAUGCGAGCGUUAUCCGGAUUUAUUGGGUUUAAAGGGUGCGCAGGCGGAAGAUCAAGUCAGCGGUAAAAUUGGGAGGCUCAACCUCUUUCAGCCGUUGAAACCGGUUUUUUUUAGGGAGUGAGAAGUAUGGGGAAUGCGUGGGG